GAUGAAGAACGUAGUGAAAUGCGAUAAGUAAUGUGAAUUGCAGAAUUCCGUGAAUCAUCGAAUCUUUGAACGCACAUUGCGCCCCCUGGCAUUCCGGGGGGCAUGCCUGUCCGAGCGUCAUUGCUGCCCUCAAGCACGGCUUGUGUGUUGGGCCUCCGUCCUCCUCCCGGGGGACGGGCCCGAAAGGCAGCGGCGGCACCGCGUCCGGUCCUCGAGCGUAUGGGGCUUCGUCACCCGCUCUUGUAGGCCCGGCCGGCGCUUGCCGACACAUCAAUCUUUUUUCCAGGUUGACCUCGGAUCAGGUAGGGAUACCCGCUGAACUUAAGCAUAUCAAUAAGCGGAGGA
rnacentral:misc_RNA from 1 species